GAGCAUAUCAAUAAGCGGAGGAAAAGAAACUAACAAGGAUUCCCCUAGUAACGGCGAGUGAAGCGGGAAGAGCUCAAAUUUAAAAUCUGGCAGUGAAUUCUGUCCGAGUUGUAGUCUAGAGAAGCAUCAUCCGUGCUGGACCAUGUACAAGUCUCUUGGAACAGAGCGUCAUAGAGGGUGAGAAUCCCGUCCUUGACAUGGACUCCCAGUACUUUGUGUUGUGCUCUCAACGAGUCGAGUUGUUUGGGAAUGCAGCUCAAAAUGGGUGGUAAAUUCCAUCUAAAGCUAAAUAUUGGCGAGAGACCGAUAGCGAACAAGUACCGUGAGGGAAAGAUGAAAAGCACUUUGGAGAGAGAGUUAAACAGUACGUGAAAUUGUUGAAAUGGAAACGCUUGAAGUCAGUCGCGUUCUCUGGGAUUCAGCCUUGCUUCUGCUUGGUGCAUUUCCUAGUCUACGGGCCAGCAUGAGUUUUGACCGGUGGAAAAAGAUUUGGGGAAUGUGGCACCUUCGGGUGUGUUAUAGCCCCUUGUCACAUACACUGGUUGGGAUUGAGGUCUUAGUGCACGCUUCGGUUGUGCUUUGAUGCUGGCGUAAUGGCUUUAAACGACCCGUCUUGAAACACGGACCAAGGAGUCUAACAUGUCUGCGAGUGUUUGGGUGUAAAACCCGAGCGCGAAAUGAAAGUGAUAGUUGGGAACCUCUUUAGAGGGGCACCGACGCCCGGACCAGACCUUCUGUGACGGAUCCGAGGUAGAGCAUAUAUGUUGGGACCCGAAAGAUGGUGAACUAUGCCUGCAUAGGGUGAAGCCAGAGGAAACUCUGGUGGAGGCUCGUAGCGAUUCUGACGUGCAAAUCGAUCGUCAAAUGUGGGUAUAGGGGCGAAAGACUAAUCGAACCAUCUAGUAGCUGGUUCCUGCCGA
rnacentral:rRNA from 1 species